ACAAACUUGGUCAUUUAGAGGAAGUAAAAGUCGUAACAAGGUUUCCGUAGGUGAACCUGCGGAAGGAUCAUUAUCGAUUCACAGGAUAGGGGGAUGUGCUGGUGGGGGGGGAAGGUUUCCAAGAAGCCUUUUGCACCGUGCACUCUCGCUUCCUUAUCCAUCUCUUGCAUUUGACCCUGUGCACCUUUUGUAGGUGGGAGUUCCAAAUUUCCACCUAUGCUUUUUUAUUGCAAACACCUGUUUCGGAUAAUAUUUGAUGUUGAAUUACUUUGUAACAACUUUCAACAAUGGAUCUCUUGGCUCUCGCAUCGAUGAAGAACGCAGC
rnacentral:misc_RNA from 1 species